rnacentral:lncRNA from 1 species
AUAAAAAAACGAGUUGGAAAUAUCCUCGAUGUGUUUCUUGAGUUGCCUUUUUCUUUACAAAAAUAUGUAUUGAAAAGACCUGUGGGCGCUCCUUUUGCUGUGCCCCGCGGGAAGAAGGGAAGAAAAGAGAAGAGAAAAAAGAGAAGAAAAGUCAUGGGGUUGACUUAAGUAUUAAAUGGUUGGACUCGUUCUUCUUUUACUUCUUUUUCUUCUUCUUUCCUUUUAUUUAAGAAAAAACUAAGAAAUGUAUCAAAGUAUUCCAUUCCAAGGCUUUGAUAUCGAACCCGUCUCUUGAAUGUUGUUUACUCCUGAAUAAUAAUUGAUUUCUUCAGAAAAAUAAAUGUUUAUGAUUUGGA